rnacentral:lncRNA from 1 species
CCUAUCCAUUGGCAUCCUCCAUGUUCAAGCCAACUGGAGGCUCUUGGUGGGGUUAAGCCCUACCUCUCUCAGCAUUUUGGGCAACAUCAUGCUCAAAGAACAGACUACAAAGACUUUGAUACCGUGACUGGAGCAGUGCUUGAGGAGCUUUGUACGCAGUGAGUAACUCUUCAUGUAAAGUGACUGUGUAAGACUGCCUGAAUGCCACUGUCUGCUGAGUCAACUUGAACACGGGACUGCAUAUGACAUGAAGGUCACCAAGAGCAUAGACCGAAGGACAAGCCCUGUUUUCUGGAAGUACUCCCAAG